rnacentral:rRNA from 1 species
UAAUGAGACUGCCGGUGACAAACCGGAGGAAGGUGGGGAUGACGUCAAGUCCUCAUGGCCCUUAUAGGUGGGGCUACACACGUCAUACAAUGGCCGGUACAAAGGGCUGCAAACCCGCGAGGGGGAGCCAAUCCAUCAAAGCCGGUCGUAGUCCGGAUCGCAGUCUGCAACUCGACUGCGUGAAGUCGGAAUCGCUAGUAAUCGUGGAUCAGCAUGUCACGGUGAAUACGUUCCCGGGUCUUGUACACACCGCCCGUCACACCAUGGGAGCGGGUCUCGCCAGAAGUAGUUAGCCUAACCCGCAAGGGGGGGCGAUUACCACGGCGGGGUUCGUGACUGGGGUG